CGUACAUCACAUGAAACAUGAAUAUGCAAUUGUAGAAAAUUGUUUGUAGAUAUGAAUUGAUUAUUAGAUUAUUGAAACAUAUUCUUAGUGAGAGAUAUGAAAUAUGCAGGAAUUAAUUCAUAUUUCAAAUAAUUUUCUCGAUAAUGUUUGGCAUUAAAUUAAGAAAAUUUCACGUGGGGUCGCUUAAUUUCGUCAUUAAUAAGUCUUUACAUCGAAAACGAAGGAAAGUUUUUCGCUCAACCCCUGGAAGAAGAAUCGAGAGAGAAGUACAAAACGAAAAUUAAUGGAAGGCCCGAUGAAUAAUGGAGCCAGUGCAAUUAACAAAGGAAAGGGGCUUUGAAAAACAACUUGUGCUAUAGACGCAAGCGCCGAAGAAAGAUUAAAAUAUUUAAUAAGUGUUGCGUUAAGAGCCCCUGGUUAGGGAGGAAUCGUCGAGCAGGCGAAGAAAAGAGAAAAAUCAAUAAAUCCCUGAGGAAUCCAUUUACAAUUUAAAUUUUCCGUGCGGGACAGCAGGAGCUGGGAAGAAGAAAAGAAUACGACGCCGGCCAACUAAACGUCUCGCAAUAGAACGACCGGAAUAUUUGUUUUUUAGUUAACAAUGUUUACUUAAGCAGUACUUAAAUGAAAACAUAGCAACAGGGAGGAACUACAAGAAGUACCGAGACACAAGAAAUAAAGGUAAAUUUUCCAAUGGAAGAGAAUAAAUAAAAAACUGGAAAAAACUCACCAUAUGCGCAACAUGGUGUGCAAUGCUGAUCAAGCUCAACGUUGCGUGUAAUAAUAAUUUGAGGAUGAAUUGGUGAAAAAUUGCAUUGACUGAAGAUUAAGUUGAGUUAAGGAUGAAAAUCGUGGGAAACAAAAAGGUCCAUGGGGUGGACGCGAUCGCUAUUGAAGUUACAGACGGCGAAGAUGUAUGGAAAAUGUAACAGAAUUUUCACAGAAAGAAUCCCGUACAAAUUUUCAAGAAAGGAUAACAACCUGGCAACUUAACCAAGAAAAGCGUUUGCGUAUGUAUAUUUAUAUGAACUUUUCGCCAUAUUUUUGUUUGCAAUUAAACAGUUUAAAUUA